rnacentral:ribozyme from 1 species
UGCCCAGCAACUCCUAUCCCUACCUCCUCGUGGUACUGGCCGGGGUACAAGUAACAUUUGAUGGUCGUAUGCUGACAGGGAAGG